rnacentral:rRNA from 1 species
UACAGAGGGGGCAAGCGUUGUUCGGAAUUACUGGGCGUAAAGGGCGCGUAGGCGGCCUGCUAAGUCGAACGUGAAAUCCCCGGGCUCAACCCGGGAACUGCGUCCGAUACUGGCAGGCUUGAAUUCGGGAGAGGGAUGCGGAAUUCCAGGUGUAGCGGUGAAAUGCGUAGAUAUCGGGAGGAACACCUGUGGCGAAAGCGGCUCACUGGACCGCAACUGACGCUGAGGCGCGAAAGCUAGGGGAGCAAACA